rnacentral:rRNA from 1 species
GACGAACGCUGGCGGCGUGCCUAACACAUGCAAGUCGAGCGAAGUGAGUACUACGGUACGAACUUAGCGGCGGACGGGUGAGUAACGCGUGGACAAUCUACCCUGUAGACUGGGAUAACACCUCGAAAGGGGUGCUAAUACCGGAUAAUGUCGAGAAGCGGCAUCGCUUGUCGAAGAAAGGAGAGAAUCCGCUAUAGGAGGAGUCCGCGUCCCAUUAGCUAGUGGGUGAGGGUAACGGCCCACCAAGGCGACGAUGGGUAGCCGGCCUGAGAGGGUGAACUGCCAAACUCGGACUGAGCCACGGUCCAGACACGUACGGGAGGCAGCAGUGGGGAAUAUUGUGCAAUGGGGGAAACCCUGACACAGCAACGCCGCGUGGGCGAAGAAGGCCUUCUGGUUGUAAAGCUCAAUAGUAUGGGAAGAUAAUGACGGUACCAUACGAAAGCCCCGGCUAACUACGUGCCAGCCGCCGCAGUAACAC